rfam:Brassica napus, WGS project CCCW01000000 data, contig: 39947
AAGCCAUGGUGUGGACAUCUGUUUAAGUAGCUUCUGAACCUCUCAUAUGCUUCCCCAAAGCUUUCAAGAUUCUUUUGUUGAAAUCCAGAUAUUUCAUUCCUUAGCUU